CUGAGGCGUGAUGACGAGGCACUACGGUGCUGAAGCAACAAAUGCCCUGCUUCCAGGAAAAGCCUCUAAGCAUCAGGUAACAUCAAAUCGUACCCCAAACCGACACAGGUGGUCAGGUAGAGAAUACCAAGGCGCUUGAGAGAACUCGGGUGAAGGAACUAGGCAAAAUGGUGCCGUAACUUCGGGAGAAGGCACGCUGACAUGUAGGUGAAGUGAUUUACUCAUGGAGCUGAAGUCAGUCGAAGAUACCAGCUGGCUGCAACUGUUUAUUAAAAACACAGCACUGUGCAAACACGAAAGUGGACGUAUACGGUGUGACGCCUGCCCGGUGCCGGAAGGUUAAUUGAUGGGGUCAGCGCAAGCGAAGCUCCUGAUCGAAGCCCCGGUAAACGGCGGCCGUAACUAUAACGGUCCUAAGGUAGCGAAAUUCCUUGUCGGGUAAGUUCCGACCUGCACGAAUGGCGUAAUGAUGGCCAGGCUGUCUCCACCCGAGACUCAGUGAAAUUGAACUCGCUGUGAAGAUGCAGUGUACCCGCGGCAAGACGGAAAGACCCCGUGAACCUUUACUAUAGCUUGACACUGAACAUUGAGCCUUGAUGUGUAGGAUAGGUGGGAGGCUUUGAAGUGUGGACGCCAGUCUGCAUGGAGCCGACCUUGAAAUACCACCCUUUAAUGUUUGAUGUUCUAACGUGGACCCGUGAUCCGGGUUGCGGACAGUGUCUGGUGGGUAGUUUGACUGGGGCGGUCUCCUCCUAAAGAGUAACGGAGGAGCACGAAGGUUGGCUAAUCCUGGUCGGACAUCAGGAGGUUAGUGCAAUGGCAUAAGCCAGCUUGACUGCGAGCGUGACGGCGCGAGCAGGUGCGAAAGCAGGUCAUAGUGAUCCGGUGGUUCUGAAUGGAAGGGCCAUCGCUCAACGGAUAAAAGGUACUCCGGGGAUAACAGGCUGAUACCGCCCAAGAGUUCAUAUCGACGGCGGUGUUUGGCACCUCGAUGUCGGCUCAUCACAUCCUGGGGCUGAAGUAGGUCCCAAGGGUAUGGCUGUUCGCCAUUUAAAGUGGUACGCGAGCUGGGUUUAGAACGUCGUGAGACAGUUCGGUCCCUAUCUGCCGUGGGCGCUGGAGAACUGAGGGGGGCUGCUCCUAGUACGAGAGGACCGGAGUGGACGCAUCACUGGUGUUCGGGUUGUCAUGCCAAUGGCACUGCCCGGUAGCUAAAUGCGGAAGAGAUAAGUGCUGAAAGCAUCUAAGCACGAAACUUGCCCCGAGAUGAGUUCUCCCUGAGACUUUAGGUCUCCUGAAGGAACGUUGAAGACGACGACGUUGAUAGGCCGGGUGUGUAAGCGCAGCGAUGCGUUGAGCUAACCGGUACUAAUGAACCGUGAGGCUUAACCUU
rnacentral:rRNA from 1 species